rnacentral:rRNA from 1 species
AGAGUUUGAUCCUGGCUCAGGAUGAACGCUGGCGGCGUGCCUAACACAUUCAAGUCGAACGGAUGAGUUCCUUCGGGGAUUCAUUAGUGGCGGACGGGUGAGUAACGCGUGAGCAACCUGCCUAUCAGAGGGGAAUAACGUUUGGAAACGAACGCUAAUACCGCAUAAAGCAUGAGUAUCGCAUGGUACAUAUGCCAAAGAAUUAUCGCUGAUAGAUGGGCUCGCGUCCGAUUAGGCAGUUGGUGAGGUAACGGCCCACCAAACCGACGAUCGGUAGCCGGACUGAGAGGUUGAACGGCCACAUUGGAACUGAGAAACGGUCCAGACUCCUACGGGAGGCAGCAGUGGGGAAUAUUGGGCAAUGGGCGCAAGCCUGACCCAGCGACGCCGCGUGAGGGAAGACGGUCUUCGGAUUGUAAACCUCUUUCAGCAGGGAAGACAAAAGGACGGUACCUGCAGAAGAAGCCACGGCUAACUACGUGCCAGCAGCCGCGGUAAUACGUAGGGGGCAAGCGUUAUCCGGAUUUACUGGGUGUAAAGGGAGCGUAGACGGCAAAGCAAGUCUGAAGUGAAAUCCCGGGGCUCAACCCUGGAACUGCUUUGGAAACUGUUUAGCUAGAGUGCAGGAGAGGUAAGUGGAAUUCCUAGUGUAGCGGUGAAAUGCGUAGAUAUUAGGAGGAACACCAGUGGCGAAGGCGGCUUACUGGACUGUAACUGACGUUGAGGCUCGAAAGCGUGGGGAGCAAACAGGAUUAGAUACCCUGGUAGUCCACGCCGUAAACGAUGAUUACUAGGUGUCGGGUUCUAAGAGAAUUCGGUGCCGCAGCAAACGCAAUAAGUAAUCCACCUGGGGAGUACGUUCGCAAGAAUGAAACUCAAAGGAAUUGACGG